CCAGGUGCAUCUCAUAUGUGCGCUAGGAUCAAUUAACACACAUAUGAUGACGACUUCAGCGUAUAUCAACAAGUGUCAUAACAUUAUUACAUGAAUUGAAUAACUAAACAAAAGAAACUAAAUGAUGAUGAUAGCAUGACAAUCACGACGACGAUCCAUAGGUAGUCGACUAGAUCAACGAAGGCCUAGGACUCCUCAAAGUCUUCAUAAUAGUCCUCCUGUUGACCUUCGUCUGAGUAGCAAAUUGAGCAAUAAUGAGUACACUUAUGGUUAAUAAUCAGCAAGUGUGUAAGAAAGGUAUAGUGUAAGGCCAACCAAGAAUAAGGCUAGGUAUAGCAUUCCACAUUUUAUUUAUGUUGGUAAACAAUUUAUUAGCAAUUACUAAGUAUAAGUUGGUACCAAAUAAAAGAUCAUAAAUGAAAUACCCAACAACAAAUGACAUGCAUGUCCAGUUAAUUUACUUCCAAUAGUUUAAUCAUGUGAGGAUCUGAGUCGCUCUUGACCAUGAGCAUGGUUGAUAUAUCAGUUUUACACUCUGUAGAGGUUGUACAACUUUACCUCUCUAACCUAGGUUAGCUAGACCAGUAUUUAGUUUCGAAGUGAAUGGCUAGGGGUCCACUACGAGGCCUUCAUAAAUAUUCACUAGUAUGUCAAUAACCCACUAAGGUUUCAGGACCAGGUAAAGCACAGAGCUCCCACGGCUGAAAAGAUACCACAAAGCAUAUCAGUCCAUGAGCAGGUCCAUACUGCAGCAAUGCCCCCCUCUUGCCCUUUAGUAAGGUUAACCCAUAACUAGAUUCCCUAAUUAAUCAGCCAAGACUAGAGCCAUAACAGUUCUUGUGGUGGUACUAUUUUCUCGGGUGUCGCUCCAUGUUCCAAUUAAAUAUAGUGUUCUUGUACCAACAAAUAAUAUAUCACAAGAAUAAAGCAAUAACCAUGUUUCCUGUAUAACAUCACCCUAUAAAUCAAAUAGAGCAACUAGCAUGUCUACCCAACAUAAAGUAAAUCAAGUGUAAACAAGGUAUAGGGAAAGUAAUACUAGUCAUCACUUAAUAGGUCCCAUCAAUUUAAACCUAAAUGUGCAUUGCAUUGGUGAUAAAAUGAAAAAAUAGAUGUUGAUAGGACAAAAGAAACAUGCUCAAGGACACAACUUUCCUUCUAAAGAAGGAUCCUACUGCUCGGAGUCUUCACAGGCUCGGCCUUCCGAUCCUCAUUAAAAUGCUCUUCUAAGCACAUCGCACAUACAAGCAAACGAGAAACUAAAUAAAAUAAUAGUACACCUCAUUAAAAGGUUCUUCUAAGCACAUCACACAUACAAGCAAACGAGAAACUAAAUAAAAUAAUAGUACACCAAACAAUAAAAAAUAGAAGCAUGAAAUAAAUCUAUGCAUCAAGAUGAAUCUACAGACUCAAGAACCACUGAAAUCGGAGUUAAAACAAAGAAGUUAUGAAUAAAAUAAGUUUUAGGUAUGUUUUUAGAUAAAAACAUAGUUGUAGGGGCUUAUUUGAGCAAACUAGGGGGUCUCAACAUAGUUAUACUUAUAAAUACGAGGGGCUUGGUGUAAAAAUAACUAAACCGGAUGGCAGGUUCUAUUUUCAAAAGCUCUGAUACCACUUAUGUCACACCCGGUUUUAGAAGGCAAACCGAAUGCGAACCAUGUGCGUGCCAGGAUCAUAAAUUCACGUACACAGCGAUUACAUAAAUGACUCAUCAUAGCACAAUGCUUCAAAUUACAAUAAAGAGUAAGUAAUAAUAUUAAAGACUAGAGUCAUUUACAUAAUAUAAAUCAAAGUACACAGAAUCGAAACGUAGCCAACGUAAAUUAACCCACCAUAGGCAGCUGACUGGGGGAGGUCGCUAGCCUAAUCCUCGAACUCGUUGAAGUCCUAGAACUCCUGGAGAUCCGCCUCGACACCUUCUUCUUUACCUGAGCAUAGAUUGCACCAAAGGCAACCUGGUGUUUUGUGAAAGCAAGGGUGAGUACACAUCAAUGUACUCAGCAAAUGUCUCGCUUGGCUGUAGUGGACUAGCUUUAUGUGGGGUUAAGGUCAAGCUGUUGCUUUUAGUUGGUCAGGUAAUUAUCACUAGUAGAGAGCCAGGUUUUAACAUUAAGCCAAGUUGUUAACCCAAAAGUACUCCUUCCAAACAGAAAGAAUACAUGAAAUCAUAAUCAUAAUCAUAAUAGAAACCAACAUUAUCCUCAUCAUCAUAUGUAACCAAAACAUCUCUGAUCAAUGUGUCUCUAAUCAAUGGAGCUCCCUUGGCCGCUCAUAACCGCGCGAGCACGGCUGAUAUAUCAGUUUCAUAACACUCUACAGAGGUUGCGCACUUUACCCACAAGCCGUGAUUCCCUUUUUAGCCCGGGCUUGCAAGACCCUUAUUCACUCCCAAGGUGAAUGGCCAAGGAUUCACUACGAAGCCUUUACAAAAAUCCUCUGAGGUUGUAGCCGCCCGUUAGGUUUCCUAAAUGUACCGCACUCCUCCCCAAGGGGCAAACCACCCUCGGCAGAGCGAGCCGCAUACACCGAGCCCCAUUGACGGCACGACGUCGAAGCGAGCUACACCUCAGUUCCUCUAAUUAAUUAGCUAAGGGCGUCCCAUAUCACCCUUAUGGUUGCGUUGUUUUCAUGGGUGAUCAUCCAAUGAACAGGUCCUUACGGAGAGACACUCGAGAAACCGCUCGAGUCCCCUAAAAUGCCACAAGUAUAUCAUCAUAUCCAGAAUAAAAUUAUAGUAUCAUCGUUAUAUCUCAUCAUGUUUAUUGAUUAAAGUAAAGUGCUAGCAUAGAACUAAUCAUAAUAAUCAAUUCAUAAAGGUUAAACAAGGACAGGAAAACAUAAUACUAGUCAAUCCUUAGGUUGAUCAUGGUAUGCGGGUUGAUGAAUUAUAAAGUAAAUGGGACAUAAUAGGGCAGAGGACACUUGUCUUCACCAAACAAAUGCUCAAGGUCUUUAAUCUCGUAGAACUCGAAGAGCUUGAUCUUAGGACCAGUGGUUCACCAAAUCUUGAUCGUCGAUUCCUUGAAGCUCAGGGACAUAUCAUUAUCUAUUCGCGACGCGCAACAAAUACAAACAGGCACAUGCAAACAUAUACUUGUAUAAGAACAUUACACCAUACAAGAUAAAAUAUUAUCGAAACGAGCAAUAUAAAAAUAGAAAGCGCUUCUACAGUUAUGCGAGGAAAAGAACCACGAUAGUCGAAGCUACGGUCGAGAAGUUAUUGCGUUUACGCCAAACAGGUAUUAACUAUAACAUUUAGUUCGACAUAAUUAUAUUAAUAUACCUUUAUUAAAUGUAGAUUAAAACUACUAUUUAGUUUCGAUUAAUCUCCUACUCUAAUAGUUGUCGGAUUAAACAAGUAAUUAAUUAAUUAACACGAACGAUUAUAAGUGACACAGUUUAAUUACGUGCACGGAAAAUGCGCGACGUGCGUGAGCGACGCGUGAAACAGCACGCGCGACACGCGAAACAACAUGAACAAUACGCGAACAACGCGACGACGACGAGCACCACACGUGUGAACAACACGACAUACGAGUACUGCUAAAUUAUGUCGUUCUUAUAUUAGCCAAAUAUACACGCGCGGAUAUACGAAUUGUUAUUUUAAUAAUACACAACUAAACAAGUAAUCAAUUAUUUAACAUGGAUGAUUUAGCGAAAUGAUUUUACUAAAGCGUGCAAAUAACAAUUUACACAAAAGACGACGCGCGCGGAUAGCACGAUGACGCGCAAACGAUGUCGCGCGCGAACAACAAACAAAUGAUUAAUGAAAAGUAUUUCAGUUGGUAUUAAUCACGUUACUCUGCAUUUAUAAAAACGCAAAUAAAACUAUAAAUUAGUUUUAUUUAAAUUGUUAUUCUAAUAAAUAUCAGAUGGACAAAAAAUUAACCAAUUAAUUAAAACUUGUGUCGUGAUAAAAUAAUGUUACUAACAUGAAAUUGGUGUUGCCAUAGAGUGGACGCGACCGAAACGAGUCAAAACAGAUUUACUACGGAUAAUAUAUCGAAUAAAUAACAAUUUACGGAUUAUACAAUGCGACAUAUGAAAACCGCUAAACACACGUCACGACUACACCAAGUAAGUAUUAAAUGAAAAACAUUUACAUCGGUAUUAAUUAUGUUAAUAUUUAUAUAUGAAAGUGCAAAUUAAAACUACAAAUAAAUUUUAACCAGUUUGUUAUUUCAAUAACCCUUGGACAAACUAACAAGUAAAUAAAUAAAUAAAACAUGUAUCAUGAUGAAAUAAUAUUUUUAACAUGUACACGAUAUUAUUAUGAAGUUAAUAAAACUGAAAAUAAAUAAAUCGGACGUCUAACACAAAUGGUAACUCGUAUUUAAUAACACGCGGAUUUAAUGCGGUGGUGCAAUAUAACUGGCCAGAGCCAAGCCACACAAAGGCCUACAAAGUCGCGGGCACAGAAGAUCCAACACGAGGCAAUUCCCAAGACUCACAGCAUGCCUGCAUGCGAAUUUGAAGAUUACGCAAUAUAUGCAUGCUAAAAGGAGAUGUACAGGCAUGCAUGGCAUGGGAUGGGGCCAGGCGGUUUCUAGGGAGCUAAUUAUGCGCAUGGCGUUAGAGAUGUGUAGAAGACAUGCAUGCGGGCCCACGAGACGGUUAUUUCGUCUUUCUCAUCACGCACGCACGCACGGGAGUCUUCUUCGUUGGAACAACGGCUCUGGGCUUCCUACGUAGGGACGGGGCUGCGGGCCGGACGCGCAGCCGCGGCUGGAGAGUCGCCAUGGGCGCACGCAAGAGCCGGGAAGCCGUGGCUAGGGCUGGACAGUGGUGGGGCUUCGCCGGACAGAGGCCACGCUAGCAAGGGAGACACGCGCUAGGGGCAUAGGUGGCUGGCCGCGAGCUGCGCUAGGCCGCGCGCGCAGGCACGCGAGCACGCCGCCUAGGAGGCUCAGUCGCGCGCCAGCGGCGGCGAGGCAAAGGCCAGGCACGCUGCGUGGGUGGCCGGGGCUGGGCGCCGCGCGGAGCUGCAGGGGCACGCAAGGGAGAAGCGCGCACGCGUGCUAUGAUGCCGCGGCACUGUGCUGGGUGGGCAAGCGUCCACCGGGAGUGCAAGCGAUGGGCGGCGUUGGAGACGGCGACCGCCACGGCGGCUCUACAGAUCUAGGCAUCGGUAUAACGGACGAAGGGAGGAUGAGGGAACUGCGUACCUAGUAACUGCUGCUCGUGAGAUCCGGAUCCAGGGGAGAAGUUCAUAUCUGUGUAGAGGGAAGGAGUUUUAG
rnacentral:lncRNA from 1 species